AUGCAUUCCUUGAUAUGUUUAUUGCUUCCUACAGAAUUUAAGUAUUUGAUCCAGUUUUUUCUCCAGCAACCACCUUUGUUGCCCACCAGCCCAAAAGAGAGAGAUGAAGAGAUAAAUACUGGACUACAGGGAGUAAGGUGCUGCAUGGCCAUAUCAAGCUACUUGUAAGGUGAAGUCUGGGUUUCUGAAAAAGCCAUAUAUCUCUUGAAGCUUCUCAAACAGAAACAAUUUUUUUUUCAUUCCAUACUCAUGGAUUAUGAAGACUGUAAGAAAAUGCAGUGUUUCCUUCAUUCUUAUUAUAACUGUUGAUUAUUUCUUUUUUUGCUUUUUCCCUCAAAAAAAAAAAACAAACAAACAAGAACAGUUCUUUUGAAACAUACAAAUCCAUACAAUACCUUUUGAUUGCUUUCU
rnacentral:lncRNA from 1 species